rnacentral:rRNA from 1 species
ACGAAGGCUUCGGCCUUAGUGGCGCACGGGUGCGUAACGCGUGGGAAUCUGCCCUCAGGUUCGGAAUAACAGCGAGAAAUUGCUGCUAAUACCGGAUGAUAUCGCGAGAUCAAAGAUUUAUCGCCUGAGGAUGAGCCCGCGUAGGAUUAGCUAGUUGGUGUGGUAAAGGCGCACCAAGGCGACGAUCCUUAGCUGGUCUGAGAGGAUGAUCAGCCACACUGGGACUGAGACACGGCCCAGACUCCUACGGGAGGCAGCAGUGGGGAAUAUUGGACAAUGGGCGAAAGCCUGAUCCAGCAAUGCCGCGUGAGUGAUGAAGGCCUUAGGGUUGUAAAGCUCUUUUACCCGGGAUGAUAAUGACAGUACCGGGAGAAUAAGCUCCGGCUAACUCCGUGCCAGCAGCCGCGGUAAUACGGAGGGAGCUAGCGUUAUUCGGAAUUACUGGGCGUAAAGCGCACGUAGGCGGCUUUGUAAGUUAGAGGUGAAAGCCUGGAGCUCAACUCCAGAAUUGCCUUUAAGACUGCAUCGCUUGAAUCCA